rnacentral:lncRNA from 1 species
GUGUGUUCUUACUGGAACUGAGUAACUGCUUUGUCAUUUAAAAGUAGGCUAUAAAAAAAGAAACUUCAUUUUUGCACCUUUGUUAAAUUAUAAAUGCUUGUUAAUCAGAAUAUUUAUAAUUAAUCCCAUGCCACCCAUUGUUAACAGAGAGGUGUGUCGGUCUGUAUAAAUGCUUGUCUUAAGUGUUACAUCACUUAGCAGCUACAAAACCCUGUAAGUUAGUGCAAGUUAGCGCACUGUUGCCUGCUGAACUGGCCUCCUGACUGUGUCGAAGGCAAACACGAGGAUUUCAUAUUUAAUGUUUCUUGGAGAUGCUCUUGUCACGUGAGGAUGGAGUUGGCCUCAGUAGAGCAUUGCCUGUUUCUCUCUAGCCCCAGAGGAAGAAGCCGCACGGGAGGAGCUCCUCCUGGGAACAGGCUGGCACCAGCCCACGGUGUCUCUCCAGGGCCUGCACAUCGCUCUCUUUCAAAGACAGCGCAUCUGGAGAGCUGCUGCUCCUUCCUCUUUGAAUGAAAUGGAAGCAUCCGUAUAUUGGGAAGAUGCAAUCUGGUUUCUUAUUUCACUGGUCCUCAAGAGAGAUCUCAAGAUAGCAGUGAACGUUCUCCCCAUCAAGCCUGUGUGUGCCAACUCUGGUGAGUAGCACGCUCAUACAAAUAACAUUUAAAACACUUGUGAUGAGCUUUUG